GAUGAAGAACGUAGCGAAAUGCGAUACUUGGUGUGAAUUGCAGAAUCCCGUGAACCAUCGAGUCUUUGAACGCAAGUUGCGCCCGAAGCCAUCAGGUUGAGGGCACGUCUGCCUGGGCGUCACAUAUCGUUGCUCGAUGCCUAUCGCAUUGCGAUAGGACUUAGGGCGAAUGAUGGCUUCCCGUGAGCGUUGUUGCCUCGCGGUUGGUUGAAAAUCGAGUCCUUGGUAGGGUGUGCCAUGAUAGAUGGUGGUCGAGUUAGCACGAGACCGAUCGUGUGCAUGCUCCCAAAAUAUGGCCUCUGUGACCCACACGCGUCUUUUGACGCUCAUGACGAGACCUCAGGUCAGGCGGGGCUACCCGCUGAAUUUAAGCAUAUCAAUAAGCGGAGGA
rnacentral:misc_RNA from 1 species